rnacentral:lncRNA from 1 species
CAAUUACCAUCACAAAAGUAAUAGCUCACAUUUGAAGUUACAAGCUUCUCCUUCCUCAUUCUUCAAUAUUCAAUCUCUCCGAACAUCUUAUCAUCUUGUUAAUAGUCAGAAUGAAUUCUCCAACAUUUCUUCUUCGAUGAUCGCACAACAGAUUUCGCUUCAUCUCUAGUUCCACCACAAAAUAACCAUUGUCUCUGGGUUCAGGUUUCAGGCAACUGAACAAGAGUUGAUAUUGUAUUAUUGAGGAUGAAAAGCAUUCAGAACCUUUGUACAAUAUUGUUGUACCUGAUAUUGACAUCUACAAAUUUAAGCUCACAAAAUAUCUGGCGGCUGCCAUUUUCUCCUCUCAUCUAUGGUUAAUUUGUGUGAAUACACUCUUCAUGUUGUAUGGUUUUAGGAUCUCAUCCUCCAUUUUUAUUGUUUAUGGGGAGAUCUGACACUGAUUUGGCUUUAAAAGGCCACUUGAAAUUUUGGAAGACCCAAAUUUGUAGAUGUCGAUUCCAGGAACAACAUUAAUGUAUAAAGGCUUACAACGUUUUGCUGAAUGUUUUUUUGGUCCUAAAUAAUAAAAAUCAACCCUUGUUCGAUAGAAUGAAACCCCAGCGCCCAGCUAUGUGAUGACGACUAUUUUGUGGUGGCCCUAGAGACGAGGCAAAAUCUGUUGUGAGUAUCGAAGAAUAUGAUGUUUAAGAAUUCAUUUUGAAUAUGAACUAAGAUCGUGUUUGAUAAUCCAAAUAGGAUUGGGGAUCGAAGCCAGGGUGGUCUGGAAUCUACAUCUACCUAACAAACCCUACCCCGAAGCCUAUCCUGUUUUUCUAAUCUACUUCCAAAAUCUACCUCGAACCUAUUUUUUCUUCUUCUUUUUUCAUUAUUUAGGCUAAACAUAAGGUAUAUAGUUUUGCUAUACAAACUACACCAGGAAGAACUCGAACGAACAGCACGUUGACCACAAUCUAAAGGAGAUGUCUUGAUGAACCAAAGUGCAGUAGCAGCGACAAGCACCGUAGCCCCUCCAAUCCUUUCCACAGAAGCAAAUCAACAUCUGACCAGACAACAGGAGCAACUAACCCAACAUCGGCUUCAUUUAUAUCCAACGAAAAUCAACGAUUGAGAAAGACAGGAAUCUCAGGCGAUUUACCUAUCUAUGAUUGUUGUCCGAGACGAAAAUCAAUUGGAGCAGCUGGUGAACGAGAGAGACGGAGAGAGCAACAAAUGAGAAAGCGAGCGUCAACCGAGAGGGAGUCGCGACUGGCGAGCAGGAGCGGGAGAGAGGCUCGUCAACCGAGAGGGAGUCGCGACUCGCGAACAGGAGAGGCUCGUGAGCGACCGAGAUGAGAAUGAAAACACAGCCCUAGCAACCACUGGGAAAGAAAAAAUUAGGAUUUGCUUGAAUGGAUCCCCGAUUCAGCCCGAUUCUAGGUGAUUCUUUUCCAAAAUUGGAAGUGGGAUCACAUCCCUAUUUCGAAAAUGUGACGGGAACGGG